AUAAGACAGGAAGUUUCUUCCUGAGUUCUGAAGAAAAGAGAGGAAUGAGGUAGAGACUGGUACAAAAGAUUCCAUGACUGUAUGUGUGAGAAAAUUCCUGAUGCCUAUACAUCAGACAUAUCAUCAAGCUUAUUUGCAAUAAAUAGAGCAUCAGAGCUCCCCCUAGUGGUGAUGUCUACCACUGUGCGCCAUAUCAACAGGUCUAUGCCAGGCUGGAUCAACAGGGAGAAGAAUACAGGCUAUGAGCACACAUGACGCACCCAUCCCCCAACAUGCACACACACAAACACAAACCUACACUGGAAACUCUACGCUGACCCCUUAUUAACACAGCAAUCAUCAGACACACAUAUGUGCAGACUGCUGGGAGCACACAAGCGCUGCACAAAUAAACCAGACCUACGGACAGACCGUGGAGCAAUGAGGAGA